rnacentral:rRNA from 1 species
GACGAACGCUGGCGACGUGCUUAACACAUGCAAGUCGAACGGAAAGGCCCUGCUUUUGUGGGGUGCUCGAGUGGCGAACGGGUGAGUAACACGUGAGUAACCUGCCCUUGACUUUGGGAUAACUUCAGGAAACUGGGGCUAAUACCGGAUAGGAGCUCCUGCUGCAUGGUGGGGGUUGGAAAGUUUCGGCUGUUGGGGAUGGACUCGCGGCUUAUCAGCUUGUUGGUGGGGUAGUGGCUUACCAAGGCUUUGACGGGUAGCCGGCCUGAGAGGGUGACCGGCCACCUUGGGACUGCGAUACGGCCCAGACUCCUACGGGAGGCAGUAGUGGGGAAUAUUGCACAAUGGGCGGAAGCCUGAUGCAGCAACGCCGCGUGCGGGAUGACGGCCUUCGGGUUGUAAACCGCUUUCGCCUGUGACGAAGCGUGAGUGACGGUAAUGGGUAAAGAAGCACCGGCUAACUACGUG